UUCUCCAGCACCAUGUCUGCCUACAUGCCACCAUACUCCUUGACACAGUGGGAAUGAACUAAAUCUCUGAAACUGAAGCUCGCCCCAACUGAUGUUAAAAGGUCAUCCUGAGUGAGGAAUCCCUGAAUCAGAAAGACACACAUGGAUGUACCUGACCACAAAUUACCUACUGGGGAGUUGCUGACGGAUGACAUACCAGGAAGGGGUAGACACAUGUUCUUCAUGGGGAGGUCGCUCCAGAGCACUUCUACCUAAGAAAUAAAACUGUUAACAAGACCAUAGAGUUCUUACCAACCAGUGGAAGAAAAAUAUUUACUAAAACAACAAUCCUCGAAUCGACACAACUUAAAAACACUGUAGAAAGACUGACAGUAUUUGCCAUAAGGGUCUGCUAAAAACAGAAAGAAAAGAAAAUUUAGCAGCUCCUAUGUUGUGCCUCUAAAAUACUAGCAAAAUGCAUAUUAUGUUUUUCAAGGUUUGCAAUAUAUUUAUAUUACGCCAGAGCUAACACCUAGAAAAUUAAGUUUGUUUUUUUUUUUAAUUUACUUGAGGUUAAAACAAUAAUUACAAACCAAUCUAGGGAGGGGAAGGGGAGUAAAACAUACCAUAAAACCCUUUUUUAGAAGCAAAAGUUAAAUCAUUUUUGCUUUUGAAAACCACUGAACAAUUUCAAUAGUUAUUCACAAUCUAGUUGAAGCCACCUUGGAAACCAUGUGACAGAGCCAUUUGGAGUGCCUAGAACUUCCCCAGGACUUCUCUCUUGGCUCAUCCUGAGCAUAAAAGAAAGCACUUUUUGUGCUUCCCAGGAGAACGUUCAGAGACUCAGUGGAAGCAGAUGUAUGUCAGUCUAUGUUUUAAAGCACACAGCUCCGACAAGUUAGGUUUCUCAUGGGUAGAAGCAAGAUGACAGGCCAUGUCAGAACAUGUGCUUCUGUCCCAUCACCUGAUAAAAACAGGGUUCUCACAUGGAAGGAAAUGGGGAGCAGGAAAAGAUGAGGAAACUCAAGUCUCUCAAUAUGGAAUAAACAGUCUUAGUCAUGCAAUUCUGUCUUCACAAUUUAACUACUGCUCAGACUCCGUCUCUAAAUUUUGUUGCUUGGAAGGCCUGAGGAAGCAUCCAUGAAGGUUCUUGUCUCUUUGUCAUCAGGACUAAAUCAGAGCCAUCUAAAGAGCUCCAACAUCUGUGGAAGCUCUUCAUGGAUAAGAGCGUGAGAAGCCAUUUUGAAGCAAGGAGGAACCCUUACCUACUUUAAUAUCCAAAUACUACAUCCUCCAAGGCUUUCGGUUUUUCAUUUAGCCACUGUGGAGGAUGUGGAUUCAAAAUUGAAUGCAAGAAAAUUCUGAUGGCUGGAGAAGUUAUGGAAUCAACCUGUGCUAUAGCAAAGGAAGAUUCUCGAAAAACCAGGUUUCCACUUACCUGUUGAAAAGAUCUUUGUCGGUAUUAAAGAAGUCACAGAAGUAUAACAGCUGUGUGAUUAUUGAGCAUUGUGGGAAAAUUGAAGAGAAUGAAAUUAUGAUUGACACAGGCAGGGGAAGGAUGAAGCGUUCUGCUUUCAUUACCUUUGAUGAUCAUGGUCUAGGAAAAAGAUUGCCAUUCAGAAAAUGAUUCCAUGCAUGGCCAAGGCAGUGAAGUAAGAAACUCCUUGUUGAAGUAAGAGAUAGCUAGUGCUUCAUCUAGCCAAAGAUGAGUGAUUCUGGAAACUUUUGGUGAUGGCUAUGGUGCAAUGACACUUUUGGAGGUGACAUCAGUAGUUGUGGUGGCUUUGGUGGCAAUUGUAGAGGCAGAUGUGGUGAUAAUGAUAGCUAUAAAGGAUUUGGUAAUGGUGGUGAUUGUGAGUCCAGAACUCUGGUCCUCUAUAAGACAAACGUACACUCUUUGGUGUUGAGCCAUCUCUCUGUCCACUAAAAAAAGAUAAGGACAAGACAAUCUAAAAACAGACAAGAAUAACAACAGGAACAAAAGGUAUGGGGUACUAUCUAAUGUGUUCACUAGCUUAUUGUCAACGGGUUGACUCUAAAAGGACUAUUUUAACAUAUGAAUAAAGUAUUUAGAAAUCUUAGGACAAUCUUUCCUGACUUCUCUACUCUCUAAAGGACAGAUUUAAACCUAUAUCAGACUGGAGUGUGGAGUCUAGAUUUACCACAAAGGCUCUUAAUAUUGGGCAAUCAUGGCAAUACUACCUACUCCAUUUUGCCCCCAGGAGAGCAGAAAGCUUUCUAGUCCCUGCAGGGAUACUUUGAACUAGGAGAAACAUCUUUCCCCUCCACUCUGCCUUGGACAAAGCUCUCUUAGCUGGAACACAGACAUUUACCACUGCCAGGCAAGAAGUACAAUAAAUAAAGAGAAGAUGAUCUUAAAAUAAUUUUUUAAGUGGAAAAAAAUCCAAAAAGCAGGAAGAAAACACAGUAUAUAAUAGUCUUUUUUUAAAAAGAAAAAAUGAUAUAUGUAUGUGUUUGGGAACACACAGACUGCGGUGUGCAUAUGGAACCUGAGGGAAACUUGCUGAAGUUGGUUCUCUCUUCUACCAUUUGCAUUCCACAGGCUGAACUCAGGUCACAGGCUUGAUGGAGCGUGCCUUUGCCUGCUGAGCUCCCUUCUUGGCUUUGGUCUUGACACUUAUCCCUCUGGAAGUGCAUAUCAUGUCCUCCCUCCC